rnacentral:lncRNA from 1 species
GGAUCAUCAGCGGCCAUUGAGAACUUAAAGAAUUGCAUAAUUCGGUAAACUUUCGUAGAGGAAAAGUAGGUGAACAGGGGAAUUAGCGUAGCAUGUCAAUUGUGCCAGGAAAGCUUUGCUAAUGUCUUUUGGUGAUGGAUUCCGAACUAUGGUUCAUUUAACUUUGUUUGUGCUAGGGUAAGGUACCGAAGUUAUGCAUUAAACAAGCCUUCUUUAAGUUAUGCAUAUUAAAAAAAUGCAUUUUUACUUGACAAAGGAUUCGUUGCUAAUUCCCUUUUUCGGUCUUCUCAAAGUCCUUGAGACAAGCUUGGCCAAUCUUAUGUAAG